AGCCUUGGGGCAUCCUGUAGUUGGCC
rnacentral:sRNA from 1 species